UACGAAGGGUGGCAAACGUUGCUCGGAAUUAUUGGGCGUAAAGCGCACGUAGGCGGCUCUGUAAGUCGGAUGUGAAAUCCCUCGGCUUAACCAAGGAAGUGCAUCCGAAACUGCAAGGCUUGAGUACUUAAGAGGAUCGCGGAAUCCCGGUGUAGAGGUGAAAUUCGUAGAUAUCGGGAGGAACACCAGUGGCGAAGGCGGACGAUCUGGGAAGAUACGUGACGCUGAGGUGCGAAAGCGUGGGGAGCAAACAGGG
rnacentral:rRNA from 1 species